AGUCGAUUCGAUUUACCUUCGGGUAAUGAGGAUGGCAGACGGGUGAGUAACGCGUAAGGAACUUGCCUCUUGGACUGGGACAACUGUUGGAAACGACAGCUAAUACCGGAUAUUAUGAGAUUCUCGCAUGAGAAACUUAUGAAAGCUAUAUGCGCCAAGAGAGAGCCUUGCGUUCCAUUAGCUAGUUGGUGGGGUAACGGCCCACCAAGGCGACGAUGGAUAGCCGGCCUGAGAGGGUGAACGGCCACAAGGGGACUGAGACACGGCCCUUACUCCUACGGGAGGCAGCAGUGGGGAAUAUUGGACAAUGGACCAAAAGUCUGAUCCAGCAAUUCUGUGUGCACGAUGAAGGUCUUCGAUUGUAAAGUGCUUUCAGUUGGGAA
rnacentral:rRNA from 1 species